CCUACGGGAGGCAGCAGUGAGGAAUAUUGGGCAAUGGACGAGAGUCUGAACCAGCCAAGUAGCGUGAAGGAUGACUGCCCUAUGGGUUGUAAACUUCUUUUAUAUGGGAAUAAAACGUUCCACGUGUGGGUUUUUGUAUGUACCAUAUGAAUAAGGACAGGCUAACUCCGUGCCAGCAGCCGCGCUAAGACGGAGGAGCCGAGCGUUGUGCGGAUUUAUUGGGUUUAAAGGAAGCGUAGGUGGAGUGUUAAGUCAGUUGUGAAAGUUUGCGGCUCAACCGUAAAAUUGCAGUUGAAACUGGCAGUCUUGAGUACAGUAGAGGUGGGCAGAAUUCGUGGUGUAGCGGUGAAAUGCUUAGAUAUCACGAAGAACUCCGAUUGCGAAGGCAGUUCACUGGACUGCAACUGACACUGAGGCGCGAAAGUGUGGGUAUCAAACAGGAUUAGAUACCCCUGUAGUC
rnacentral:rRNA from 1 species